rnacentral:hammerhead_ribozyme from 1 species
AUUCAGCUGACGAAUCCCAAAUAGGACAAAACGCGCGUAAAACUAGAU